rnacentral:rRNA from 1 species
GACGAACGCUGGCGGCAUGCCUAACACAUGCAAGUCGAGCGAGCAGAUCCCUUCGGGGUGAAGCUAGCGGCGAACGGGUGAGUAACACGUGGGCAACCUACCUCAUCGAGGGGAAUAGCCUUCCGAAAGGAAGAUUAAUCCCCCAUAAGAUUGUAGCUUCGCAUAAAACCACACUUAACGGAGCAAUCCGCUAUGAGAUGGGCCCGCGGCGGAUUAGGUAGUUGGUGAGGUAACGGCUCACCAAGGCGACGAUGCGUAGCCGACCUGAGAGGGUGAUCGGCCACAUUGGGACUGAGACACGGCCCAGACUUCUACGGGAGGCAGCAGUGGGGAAUAUUGCACAAUGGGGGAAACCCUGAUGCAGCAAUGCCGCGUGAGUGAUGACGGCCUUCGGGUUGUAAAGCUCUGUUUCCGGGGACGAUAAUGACGGUACCCGAGGAGGAAGCCACGGCUAACUACGUGCCAGCAGCCACAGUAA